ACGCUCGACACCUACGGGAGGCAGCAGUGGGGAAUAUUGGGCAAUGGGCGCAAGCCUGACCCAGCAACGCCGCGUGAAGGAAGAAGGCCCUCGGGUUGUAAACUUCUUUUGACAGGGACGAAGAAAAUGACGGUACCUGUCGAAUAAGCCGCGGCUAACUACGUGUCAGCAGCCGCGGUAAUCUGAGCGGGCGUGGCAAGGC
rnacentral:rRNA from 1 species